rnacentral:tRNA from 1 species
GCCCGGGUGGUGAAAUUGGUAAACACAUCGGACUUAAAAUCCGACGAGGGGCAACUCUCCUACCGGUUCGAUUCCGGUUCCGGGCACCA